ensembl:lncRNA
UGGAGCACCCAUGGGUGCCCCCCGACCCCACCUAUUAAACAGGAGCACCCAUGGGUGCCCCUCAAUGCCCAUUCAUUCCACUGGAGCACCCAUGGGUGCCCCCCGACCCCACCUAUGACACAGGAGCACCCAUGGGUGUCCAAUACCUCAUUCAUUCCAUAGAAGCACCCACGGGUGCCCCCAAAUCCCAUUCAUUCCAUUGGAGCACCCAUGGGUGCCCCCAGACUCCAUUCAUUCCAUUGGAGCACCCAUGGGUGCCCCCCGACCCCACCUAUGACACAGGAGCACCCAUGGGUGCCCAAGACCCCACACAUUCCAUAGAAGCACCCAUGGGUGCCCCCAAAUCCCAUUCAUUCCAGUGGAGCACCCAUGGGUGCACCCAAAUCCCAUUCAUUCCAUAGGAGCACCCAUGGGUGCCCCUCAAAGCCCAUUCAUUCCAUUGAGCACCCAUGGGUGCCCCCCGACCCCACCUAUUAAACAGGAGCACCCAUGGGUGUCCAAUACCUCAUUCAUUCCAGUGGAGCACCCAUGGGUGCCCCCCAACCCCACAUAUUAAACAGGAGCACCCAUGGGUGCCCACAAAUCCCAUUCAUUCCAGUGGAGCACCCAUGGGUGCCCCUCAAAGCCCAUUCAUUCAAUUGGAACACCCAUGGGUGCCCCCUGACCCCACUUAUUGCACAGGAGCACCCAUGGGUACCCAAGACCCCCCGCAUUCCAUUGGAACACCCAUGGGUGCCCCCAAACCCCAUUCAUUCCAUAGGAGCACCCAUGGGUGCCCCUCAAUGCCCAUUCAUUCCAUCGAGCACCCAUGGGUGCCCC